UACGUAUGGUGCGAACGUUGUUCGGAAUCACUGGGCGUAAAGAGCACGUAGGCGGUUAAGCAAGUCCAUUGUGAAAUCCCCCGGCCUAACCGGGGAACUGCAUUGGAUACUACUUGACUUGAGUGCAGGAGGGGAGAGUGGAAUUCCAGGUGGAGCGGUGAAAUGCGUAGAUAUCUGGAGGAACGCCGGCGGCGAAAGCGACUCUCUGGUCUGUAACUGACGCUGAGGUGCGAAAGCUAGGGGAGCAAACGGG
rnacentral:rRNA from 1 species